rnacentral:rRNA from 1 species
UGGGGAAUAUUGCACAAUGGGCGCAAGCCUGAUGCAGCCAUGCCGCGUGUGUGAAGAAGGCCUUCGGGUUGUAAAGCACUUUCAGCGAGGAGGAAGGCAUUAAGGUUAAUAACCUUAGUGAUUGACGUUACUCGCAGAAGAAGCACCGGCUAACUCCGUGCCAGCAGCCGCGGUAAUACGGAGGGUGCAAGCGUUAAUCGGAAUUACUGGGCGUAAAGCGCACGCAGGCGGUUUGUUAAGUCAGAUGUGAAAUCCCCGAGCUUAACUUGGGAACUGCAUUUGAAACUGGCAAGCUAGAGUCUUGUAGAGGGGGGUAGAAUUCCAGGUGUAGCGGUGAAAUGCGUAGGAGAUCUGGAGGAAUACCGGUGGCGAAGGCGGCCCCCUGGACAAAGACUGACGCUCAGGUGCGAAAGC